rnacentral:lncRNA from 1 species
GCACAGAAACACACACGCACAAACACAGAGAAAUAAGGGAAAGUACCGGGACUUAUCCUGCUGCUGCUGCAAACCCAAAGAUAGCAGACGAAGAGGGGGUUUGGCUCCUACCCCAAGGUAAAGCCCUGCCCCCUUUACCUCCUCGACACCUCCUCCGAGGAAGAGAAGGAGAGAGAGCGAAGGGGGCCAAAGUGGAGAAAAGCAGAUCUUCUGCGGCUGGCAUUUGGAGUACAGAGAGCCAGGAAGUGAAGGAUGGUUGUGGUUACCCGAGCUGGCUGCAGGGCAGCUCUCUUCCUCUGGGUUUUCAUCAGCAUUAGCUGCAGAGCCAGGACUGCUCUGCCUGCAUCUCGGAACCCUUCUUGGUCCCAGUUUUCCCGUAGCUCCUUGACGAGAGCAUCGCAGGACAGCGACUCAUCAGAGGCAGGGCCCAGCUCGGCCCACAACAGGUCAAGAGACACCAGCUCAGACUGCUUUGGUGUCUCUGCUGCGGUGCCGUUGGUCACAUUGCAAGUGCUGUGCCACUUUGAGGGGCCUGCUGUUGCUUCCAGAGUGGGGCUUGGUGGACCCUGGAGGAUACAUCUGGAUUUCGUGGGGCUUUAUUUGUCUUUCUCCAGGGAGGAGAAGAUGACUGUAAAC